AACGAACGCUGGCGGCAGGCCUAACACAUGCAAGUCGAGCGAGGACUUCGGUCCUAGCGGCGGACGGGUGAGUAACGCGUGGGAACGUGCCCUUUGCUUCGGAAUAGCCCUGGGAAACUGGGAGUAAUACCGGAUGAGCCCUUUGGGGGAAAGAUUUAUCGGCGAAGGAUCGGCCCGCGUUGGAUUAGGUAGUUGGUGGGGUAAUGGCCUACCAAGCCGACGAUCCAUAGCUGGUUUGAGAGGAUGAUCAGCCACACUGGGACUGAGACACGGCCCAGACUCCUACGGGAGGCAGCAGUGGGGAAUAUUAGACAAUGGGGGAAACCCUGAUCUAGCCAUGCCGCGUGAGCGAUGAAGGCCUUAGGGUUGUAAAGCUCUUUCAGCUGGGAAGAUAAUGACGGUACCAGCAGAAGAAGCCCCGGCUAACUCCGUG
rnacentral:rRNA from 1 species